CCGGCACGGGUGAGUAACACGUAUCCAACCUGCCGUCUACUCUUGGACAGCCUUCUGAAAGGAAGAUUAUACAAGAUGGCAUCAUGAGUCCGCAUGUUCACAUGAUUAAAGGUAUUCCGGUAGACGAUGGGGAUGCGUUCCAUUAGAUAGUAGGCGGGGUAACGGCCCACCUAGUCUUCGAUGGAUAGGGGUUCUGAGAGGAAGGUCCCCCACAUUGGAACUGAGACACGGUCCAA
rnacentral:rRNA from 1 species